AUAUUUUAGAACCAACCAGUUUUGCUCUUUGGACGACCUCAGGGAGAUGGUGAAAUUCGAAUAACCACUCUGGACAAGCAUACAAAACAAGAAAGGCAUAUCUUCUUAUUUGAUUUGGCAGUGAUUGUAUGUAAAAGAAAAGGUGAUAACUACGAAAUGAAGGAGAUAAUAGACCUUCAGCAGUACAAAAUUGCCAAUAAUCCUACUACUGAUAAGGAAAAUAAAAAGUGGUCUUAUGGCUUCUACCUCAUCCAUACUCAAGGACAAAAUGGGUUAGAAUUUUAUUGCAAAACAAAAGAUUUAAAGAAAAAAUGGCUGGAACAGUUUGAAAUGGCUUUGUGAGUAUUUCUACUUUUAAAAGUUAUUUUCCACUAUUUUAAUCACUUACGAAUAACGAACAGCCAGUAUUCGCUAACGUUUGUGUCUGGAGGCUCUGGAGCUGUGUGUUUGAUAACCUCGGUGAAUUUCUUCAAAAAUAAGAGAGAGGGAGCUCUAACCUUCCUUUUGGCUUUCUUAAAGAGCUGUUUUAAUUCUUUAGCACUCGGCAGCCCAAGAAAAUAUUAAUCUUUCUAAUGAUAAACUUUUAAUGUAAUCUCUAUUAAAAUAUAUAUCUUUAAAUUAGAUAAAAAUACCCUCACAUAGACAAAAUAUAUACAUAUGUUGCACAUACCUUAUUACAAUAGAAAGGUUGAUUUCUUCCCUCUGUUUUAAACUCAUUUAUUGUCUGAAUCCUGCCUAAAUUUGGAUGUAUUCAAUGAAUGCUUUUAGAGCAUAAUUUCUUUAAAAUAAAGAAGAAAUUCAACAAAAAGGUGGAAAAUAAGUCAGAUCUGUUUCAAAAGAAAUGGCACACAGAGCUGUCAUUACCCACAAACGUGUUUUAUAGGUGUUUCUUUUUAGUCUUGAUGUCUACGAAUUAAAAAGUGACUUAUAUUGUGGAAACACAUUGGUCACCCUGAAGUAAAACUACUAGCAAAGGUAGAAUUGAGAGA